rnacentral:rRNA from 1 species
GUACACAAAAAUGCACAUACUGUGAGCUCGAUGAGUAGGGCGGGACACGUGGUAUCCUGUCUGAAUAUGGGGGGACCAUCCUCCAAGGCUAAAUACUCCUGACUGACCGAUAGUGAACCAGUACCGUGAGGGAAAGGCGAAAAGAACCCCGGCGAGGGGAGUGAAAAAGAACCUGAAACCGUGUACGUACAAGCAGUGGGAGCCUCUUAAUGGGGUGACUGCGUACCUUUUGUAUAAUGGGUCAGCGACUUAUAUUCUGUAGCAAGGUUAACCGAAUAGGGGAGCCGAAGGGAAACCGAGUCUUAACUGGGCGUUAAGUUGCAGGGUAUAGACCCGAAACCCGGUGAUCUAGCCAUGGGCAGGUUGAAGGUUGGGUAACACUAACUGGAGGACCGAACCGACUAAUGUUGAAAAAUUAGCGGAUGACUUGUGGCUGGGGGUGAAAGGCCAAUCAAACCGGGAGAUAGCUGGUUCUCCCCGAAAGCUAUUUAGGUAGCGCCUCGUGAAUUCAUCUCCGGGGGUAGAGCACUGUUUCGGCAAGGGGGUCAUCCCGACUUACCAACCCGAUGCAAACUGCGAAUACCGGAGAAUGUUAUCACGGGAGACACACGGCGGGUGCUAACGUCCGUCGUGAAGAGGGAAACAACCCAGACCGCCAGCUAAGGUCCCAAAGUCAUGGUUAAGUGGGAAACGAUGUGGGAAGGCCCAGACAGCCAGGAUGUUGGCUUAGAAGCAGCCAUCAUUUAAAGAAAGCGUAAUAGCUCACUGGUCGAGUCGGCCUGCGCGGAAGAUGUAACGGGGCUAAACCAUGCACCGAAGCUGCGGCAGCGACACUAUGUGUUGUUGGGUAGGGGAGCGUUCUGUAAGCCUGCGAAGGUGUACUGUGAGGUAUGCUGGAGGUAUCAGAAGUGCGAAUGCUGACAUAAGUAACGAUAAAGCGGGUGAAAAGCCCGCUCGCCGGAAGACCAAGGGUUCCUGUCCAACGUUAAUCGGGGCAGGGUGAGUCGACCCCUAAGGCGAGGCCGAAAGGCGUAGUCGAUGGGAAACAGGUUAAUAUUCCUGUACUUGGUGUUACUGCGAAGGGGGGACGGAGAAGGCUAUGUUGGCCGGGCGACGGUUGUCCCGGUUUAAGCGUGUAGGCUGAUUUUCCAGGCAAAUCCGGAAAAUCAAGGCUGAGGCGUGAUGACGAGGCACUACGGUGCUGAAGCAACAAAUGCCCUGCUUCCAGGAAAAGCCUCUAAGCAUCAGGUAACAUCAAAUCGUACCCCAAACCGACACAGGUGGUCAGGUAGAGAAUACCAAGGCGCUUGAGAGAACUCGGGUGAAGGAACUAGGCAAAAUGGUGCCGUAACUUCGGGAGAAGGCACGCUGAUAUGUAGGUGAAGUCCCUUGCGGAUGGAGCUGAAAUCAGUCGAAGAUACCAGCUGGCUGCAACUGUUUAUUAAAAACACAGCACUGUGCAAACACGAAAGUGGACGUAUACGGUGUGACGCCUGCCCGGUGCCGGAAGGUUAAUUGAUGGGGUUAGCGGUAACGCGAAGCUCUUGAUCGAAGCCCCGGUAAACGGCGGCCGUAACUAUAACGGUCCUAAGGUAGCGAAAUUCCUUGUCGGGUAAGUUCCGACCUGCACGAAUGGCGUAAUGAUGGCCAGGCUGUCUCCACCCGAGACUCAGUGAAAUUGAACUCGCUGUGAAGAUGCAGUGUACCCGCGGCAAGACGGAAAGACCCCGUGAACCUUUACUAUAGCUUGACACUGAACAUUGAGCCUUGAUGUGUAGGAUAGGUGGGAGGCUUUGAAGUGUGGACGCCAGUCUGCAUGGAGCCGGCCUUGAAAUACCACCCUUUAAUGUUUGAUGUUCUAACGUUGGCCCCUGAUCGGGGUUGCGGACAGUGUCUGGUGGGUAGUUUGACUGGGGCGGUCUCCUCCUAAAGAGUAACGGAGGAGCACGAAGGUUGGCUAAUCCUGGUCGGACAUCAGGAGGUUAGUGCAAUGGCAUAAGCCAGCUUGACUGCGAGCGUGACGGCGCGAGCAGGUGCGAAAGCAGGUCAUAGUGAUCCGGUGGUUCUGAAUGGAAGGGCCAUCGCUCAACGGAUAAAAGGUACUCCGGGGAUAACAGGCUGAUACCGCCCAAGAGUUCAUAUCGACGGCGGUGUUUGGCACCUCGAUGUCGGCUCAUCACAUCCUGGGGCUGAAGUAGGUCCCAAGGGUAUGGCUGUUCGCCAUUUAAAGUGGUACGCGAGCUGGGUUUAGAACGUCGUGAGACAGUUCGGUCCCUAUCUGCCGUGGGCGCUGGAGAACUGAGGGGGGCUGCUCCUAGUACGAGAGGACCGGAGUGGACGCAUCACUGGUGUUCGGGUUGUCAUGCCAAUGGCACUGCCCGGUAGCUAAAUGCGGAAGAGAUAAGUGCUGAAAGCAUCUAAGCACGAAACUUGCCCC